GGAAGGAUGGCCGAGUGGUUUAAGGCAACGGUCUUGAAAACCGUCGACGGGCGACUGUCCCAGAGUUCGAAUCUCUGUCCUUCCG
rfam:Chania multitudinisentens RB-25, complete genome.